rnacentral:rRNA from 1 species
UGGGGAAUAUUGGGCAAUGGACGAAAGUCUGACCCAGCAAUGCCGCGUGUAUGAUGAAGGCGUUAUGCGUUGUAAAGUACUUUUAGCAGGGACGAUAAUGACGGUACCUGCAGAAUAAGCACCGACUAACUAUGUGCCAGCAGUCGCGGUAAUACAUAGGGUGCUAGCGUUACUCGGAAUUAUUGGGCGUAAAGGAUGCGUAGGAGGAUCUGAUAGUCAAAAGUGCAAUUCCCAGGCUUAACUUGGGCACUGCUUUUGAUACUUCAGAUCUAGAGUGAGAUAGAGGAUAGCGGAAUUUCUAGUGUAGGGGUAAAAUCCGUAGAUAUUAGAAGGAACACCGAAAGCGAAGGCAGCUAUCUGGGUCUCUACUGACUCUGAGGCAUGAAAGCGUGGGGAGCAAACAGG